rnacentral:rRNA from 1 species
CCCGCUGAGUUUAAGCAUAUCAAUAAGCGG